AUUCUGGCGGUUCCCUCCCUGCGAGAAGCCAAGUUACAGGGAACCAGGCAGAGGGCCUUCUCGGUGGUGGCACCCGCCCUGUGGAACGCCCUCCCACCAGAUGUCAAAGAGAACAACAACUACCAGACUUUUAGAAGACAUCUGAAGGCAGCCCUGUUUAGGGAAGCUCUUAAUGUUUGAUGUAUUACUGUAUUUUAAUAUUUGGUUGGAAGCUGCCCAGAGUGGCUAGGGAAGCCCAGCCAGAUGGGCGGGGUAUAAAUAAUAAAUUAUGAUGAUGAUGAUGAUGAUGAUGAUGUAGCCAGUUCUGGAGUUCUGGGCAAGUGGCUUUCGAGGAACGGUCUCCCAGGGGGACUUAAACCACCCCACUCUCAGAUUUAAAACAAGCGCUCUCUCUUUUUCUUUCCUCAGAUCGGAGCUGGGACUUGCAGCUCACCCCUCCUGCGCGUCCCUCCAACCUCCCGGCCCCUCGCCAGGCAGCGAAUCAGCAGCAGGAGCAAAUUCCUGCCUUCGUGGACCGGAUUGGGGGCUGAGCUGGGGCUGCCAGGGGGGGCCACGCAAAGAGGCUGGGAGGUUGAAUUUCCGGACUGCACAUCACUCCUCUGCUCUCUCUCCCAUCGCAAUGGUGCUGCCCAUCACACCAUCACAAUUUGAGGGGUGGGGCCAGCAGCCCCUGCCCCGGACCCUCCUUCACGCCUCCCGCGGGGUGGGAGAGUUGGGCUCCGCGCCUGUCGAGGUCUCACCCAUGUGCUGUUUCUACUGGAUUCUCAUUCGUGGACCCCCGCUUUUCUUUUCUACGAAGCUCGCUCCCGUUUUUCUAAACCGUGUUCCGCAAUUUUCUAAUAAACAGAGUUGGAAACCAGCGAUGGACGGGGUGGCACCGGGAAGCUCCCUAAAAAGGGGUGUCUGUCUGUGUCUGUGUGGCUUCUUUCCAUAGCUGUCAACCGUCCCUUAUUUGGCGGGAAAGUCCCUUAUCCCAGCGCCGUGUCCCGCUGCUGUCCCUUACUGAUGGAUGUCCCUUAAAUUUCCCGGGUUUCAAAGGAAGCAGCUCCUCUCCCUCCCUCCCUGUCGGCCAGGGAGGAGGGAGGCUCCAGCUGUGUUGCUUGGCUGCGUUGCUCACCCAAUAAGGAGUCUAAGAACGACUGGGGGGUGGAGCUUGCAUGCCUUGUGCCGAUCAAAUCGGCCGCGUUGCCUGGGGACUCGCCUUUGCUCAGCGCUUCCCAGCAGAGAGGUGACGGUAGUUUUCCUUGCUGCAUCCCCUUUGCCGGGUUGCUGCGCUGUGGGAACCACCGCUUGAGGCUUCGUUUGGCUGCUGGCUGGGCUUUCUGCCUUUGGCUGGGAGGGGCUCAGAAGUCGAACAUACCUGUGCCCCUUGGCACAAUAAUAAUAAUAAUAAUAAUAAUAAUAAUAAUAAUAAUAAAUUAUUUAUACCCCGCCCACCUGGCUGAGUUUCCCCAGCCACUCUGGGCGGCUCCCAAUCAAGUGUUAAAAACAAUACAGCAUUAAAUAUUAAAAACUUCCCUAAACAGGGCUGCCUUCAGAUGUCUUUUAAAGAGAAGAUAGCUGCUUAUUUCCUUCACAUCUGGUGGGAGGGUGUUCCACAGGGCGGGUGCCACCACCGAGAAGGCCCUCUGCCUAGUUCCCUGUAACCUCACUUCUUGCAGUGAGGGAACCGCCAGAAGGCCCUCGGCGCUGGACCUCAGUGUCUGGGCUGGACGAUGGGGGUGGAGAUGCUCCUUCAGGUAUACAGGACCGAGGCCGUUUAGGGCUUUAAAGGUCAGCAUCAACACUUUGAAUUGUGCUUGGAAACAUACUGGGAGCCAAUGAAGAUCUUUCAGGACCAGUGUUAUACUGUAUGGUCUCGGCGGCCUCUUCCAGUCACCAGUCUGGCUGCUGCAUUCUGGAUUAGUUGUGGUUUCCAAGUCACCUUCAAAGGUAGCCCCACGUAGAGCGCAUUGCAGUAGUCCAAGCGGGAGAUAACUAGAGAUAACUAGAUAACUUCCAUUCCGGAAGUCCAUUUGACUUCCUAAAUGUUCAGAAACCAAGGCACGGCUUCUGAUUGGUGCAGGCGCCCCGGAAACAAUAGCCGACAGCCGCAUCGGAUGUUUGGCUUCCAAAAAAGUUCGAAAACCAGAACACUUCUGGUUUUUCGGCGUUUGGGAACCAAGGCAUUUGAGAACCAAGGUACCACUGUCAACCUCAUUAAGUGUCCCUCACUCCCUUAGUCACUGCCUUUCUCCACAUUCCUCAGGUGACUUUAACAGAAGAAUGGAAAAAUUCAUGGAGGAGAGGGCUAAAGGUGGCUACUACUAGCCACAAUGGCUACAUUUUGCCUAGAAGGCAGCAGUGCUUCUCAACUCUACAGAAUCACAGAUUUGUAGAGUUGGAAAGGGGCUACGAGAAUCAUCUCAUCCUGCAAUGCAGCAAUCUUUUCCCCAACCUGAGACUCAAACCCAGGACCCUGAGAAUGAGAGUCUCAUGUUCUACCAACCGAAUGCCAGUUGCUGGAAGCUGCAGGCGUGGAGUCUUGCGUUCGAAUUCUGCUUGCUGGUUUCCCACAGGCCUCUGGUUGGCCGCUCUGCGAAGAAGAUGCUGGACGGCCCUUGGAAUGAGCCCAUCCUCUCCAACAUUCCUCGGGUGAAUGUUGCAGCCUCUACAACAUUUCUCAGAUGAAAAAUAGGGACGUCCCUCUGAAAGGGUAAGAGAGACAGUCUGGGGUCAAAUCAGAAACCGGGACGGCGUCUGUGAUUCCGGGGACUGUCCCUGGGAAAUCGGGACGCUUGGGAGCGUCUGUGAUCCGGAAGGACCCUUCUGGCGACAACAGUGUAGCGUUCCCAAAACAAGGAAGGAUUGGACUCUGAUUAAUAGAAUACACACGAGGCUUCACCAGCAUGACUCUGGGAGGAGGUGCCAAUAAUAAUAAUAAUAAUAAUAAUAAUAAUAAUAAUAAUAAUAAUUUAUUUAUACCCCGCUCAUCUGGCUGAGUUUCCCCAGCCACUCUGGGCGGCUUCCAACAAAACACUAAAAUACAAUAACCUAUUAAACAUUAAAAGCUUCCCUAAACAGGGCUGCCUUAAGAUGUCUUCUGAAUGUCAGGUAAUUAUUUAUCUCUUUGACAUCUGAUGGGAGGGCGUUCCACAGGGCGGGCGCCACCACCGAGAAGGCCCUCUGCCUGGUUCCCUGUAACUUGGCUUCUCGCAGGGAGGGAACUGCCAGAAGGCCCUCGGAGCUGGAUCUCAGUGUCUGGGCAGAACGAUGGGGGUGGAGACGCUCCUUCAGGUCUACUGGACUGAGGCCGUUUAGGGCUUUCAAGGUCAGCACCAACACUUUGAAUAAUUUCUCUCUACCCCUUAGCCCAGGUCAUUUUACUCACAAAAGAACUUUUUACACAGUGCACGUAAGAACCAAUCAUAUUUCCUUUGAGCAUUUCAAAAACCCCACGUGGGACAAAGUCAGAUCAGAAGAAAUUCUUUUAACUACAAAGAAACUAUUUCCUACUUGAGCAUGCAUCUAUAGUUCAGAGUGAAUAAAAGAGGAAGCGAGGAGGAAUGCUUUUAGGAAACUCCGGAGGUCACAAACAGCAAUAAACAAGAGAGGAAGGAUGGGUAGUAUUUACCACCUCUUUGUGAACUCUCUUCCUGAACUCUCUUCCCGGCCCUAAGAUUAAUAAACCUAACGAUGGCUACAUCAAAGCUGACUAUCAUAUUUAUGACCCAGGAUGCCUGUGGGUUAAACCACAGAGCCUAGGGCUUGCCGAUCAGAAGGUUGGCGGUUCGAAUCCCCGCGACGGAGUGAGCUCCCGUUGCUCAGUCCCUGCUCCUGCCAACCUAGCAGUUCAAAAGCACGUCAAAGUGCAAGUAGAUAAAUAGGUACCGCUCCGGUGGGAAGGUAAACGGUGUUUCCGUGCGCUGCUCUGGUUCGCCAGAAGCGGCUUAGUCAUGCUGGCCACAUGACCCGGAAGCUGUACGCCGGCUCCCUCGGCCAGUAAAGCAAGAUGAGCGCCGCAACCCCAGAGUCGGCCACGACUGGAGCUAAUGGUCAGGCGUCCCUUUACCUUUACCUUUAUGCCUGAUGAAGCAACUGGCCUGUGUUUCAGAAUGCUUAUACGUGCCUGUCAAGCAAGAGAAAUAGGACAGGGAUGCAGAGGCGUGGGUUGAUCAGAAAUCAUAUCAAAAUGGCUCAAACCCAGUCAACGCAAUGCUUUCCUUGCUGACACAAAUGGCUUGCUCCAUAUUUUCUAUAAUUCCUCAUAGCAAUCCCACCUAAUCACUGCGAACAGGGUGCUGGGAUGGGCGGAGGGAAACUUGGCGUAAUCCAGCUGCCUC
ensembl:lncRNA